GUUGGAUCCUAGUGACUCAAGUCCUGGGUCUCCUUUGUUGUGAUGUCAUGAUGCGUCAGUUUUUUGUUUUGUUUUCCAGUUGGGAAAUUCAAGUUGGGAGUUCAAGACAUGAACUCCUCUGUGGUUUAGCAUCUGGUUGGAAGCUUAUGUUGCUCUAAAAUCUGCAUUAGUGCCAGUCUUUUUGCACUCCCUUUUUAACUGAACACUAACAGCAAGCCAGAUGGUUACUUUCCCCUUUAGUCUGGAGGAUGCCAUGUCCUUGUUUUCCAAAAAGAAAUUUUACAUUUCAAUUUAUUUGACCACUCAGUUUUCCACUUGGUCCCUUUUAAAUGAGCAUUGGCCAAGAGAAGUUGACAUGAUCUAAGCUUGCUUGACAGAGAUUUAACCUGUGUUUGUGGACGGCACACUGAUCUGUGUUUGCGCACAAUGAUUCCUAGAUGUGUUCCUGAGCACAUCCAAGGAUUUUCAUGACAAAUUCAUGCUUGCUUUUAAAGCAGUGCUCUGCGAGGGCCCAGAGAGCACAGUCGCCCCGUAUUGAUUUUUUGCCUUGUUGUGCACAGAUUUCCCAAGAGUAUCUGAAAGUUUUGAUGAUAUUAUGUAGCGCAGACGAUGAGUCAUCAAAGUCUUUGCAGUUUUGUGCUGAGGAACAUUAUUCGGAUAUUGUAACCCUACAUGUCUAAGCUUUUUAUUUUUACUCAGGUUACUGACCUGAUGUGAAUUAACCUAAUUAGUCCCUCCACCUGUUUCUUUUUAAUAAUCCUCACUUUUCCAGGUAUUUGUUGCUCCCAUCCCAGUUUUUUGAGACAUGUUGUUGCCACUAAAUUCCAAAUCUAUUUUCCAGGAAAUAGUAAAAUGUCACUUUUUAACAGUUGAUAUAUUUUCUGUGUUCUAUUAUGAAUAAGAUAUAGUUUUAUGAGAUUUGAGUAUUACUAUAUUCUAUUUUUACUUACACAAUGCAUAUUUGGCACAUCUUUUUUCAAACAUAAAAAAAAUGUGUCCAAUUUACUAUUUUGAAAAUUAAUUUGCACAGACAGCGCUUCCCUUCUCAUGCUUCCCCAACAGCAGACUCAGUAUAUCUUUCAGCUGCCUCUCCAGAGAACCUCUAAUUGUUACAUUGUUACAAUCUUAGAUUGACAUUAGUCUGCUCUGGAGACCAACAGAGAAAAUGCUGGAGAGACACCAUAAUACAAUAGACUUUAAUUUAUUUGCCAUAAUUGCCAGUUAAUAAGGGAAGAGCCAAAAAUAACUUUAUUUUUAAAAAUAAGACAACAAUAAGGAAGUGAUAACCAUGGUUAAAGUUGGAACAUAAUCACCAUCACUCACUCACUUACAUCUUCCUGCUCAUGAUUCAUGGUCAUUUUGUCAUCUGGCAGUGGAAACAUUGUUGGAUGCCAUUUGAAAUUUGAAAGCGCUCGUAGAGCUGGACGUUUAUGCACUUUAUGUGUGUUUUUAAAUGAGUAAAACUGAUUCCAGGGUUUGUAUGACUGCUUAUGAUAACGAUUUGAUACCGAAGGCUCCAAGGCAGUGUCUGUUGAAUGUCCCGCAAAGGGCUGCAAAAACCAAGGACAUGGUGGGGUUCAAUUCAGUUUACACUCAGGGGAUGGAGAUUUAGUUAGAAUCAGAAGUUACAAAUUACUCUAAUAUAAGAGAUCAGCCAUUUUACUCAAUAUUUAAAAGUGAGCAAAGCAAAAAACGUUCUAACCAUUCAGUCAGAUUUGAAGUAAAAGCCUAUUUUUGAGGGGGUUUAUGAAAUGUUGCCUGAGAUUUCUAAGAGGAAAAUUCUACAGCGAGACAUGUACCACAUAACAUGUGCUCUAAAUCUGAUUACUGGACUGAUAUGUAAAAGUCAGACUGCACUUCUGAAUCAGCUGCGUUUGAAAAUGAAUUCAACCCAACCCCGGUGACAGAAAGUCGGAGGAAGAGGGAAAGAGAAACGAGCGCGCACACCAGCUUCCGUUCUUCUUCCCUCGGUCUCUUUAUUAGCUAUAACUAUAUACUAUUUCUGAAACUAGAAUAAUAAAUGUAUUAUUGAGUAUAUUAUCAACCCAUUCACUAAAACAAAAGCACAUAAUGUCUGUAAAUGGUAAUCUUUGGGUUGUCUUUUCAUUCUGAGUGAUUAUCAUCUCUAGGUUACAUGAGAUUGUAACUCCUUGAAUAUUAUUAUCAUGUUGCUGGUGUUUCUAUGAUCGUAAUGGUUAUUGCAGGGUAUACAUUUUUUUGUAAUAUUUUUAUAUUCGUUUCGAUGACUUUUUAUUUUUCUUUCUCUUGCUUAUGUACACUAACAGUCAGUGGUGUCACGUGGAAAGCAUGUGAACAAAAGUGAGAGGCAACACCCUGCUUCACCCUCACAACGCUGGAACUGGAAGCUGGCCGAUAAAAGCCUCCCUGUUGGGUCAGUUUAGGAGUGGCUCCCCUGGGACAAUUGGGUGUUAUGUGCCUUGCUCAGGGGCACGUCAGUAUUUGAAAGAAAGUAAUUUUUCUUUUCUAACCAUUCUACAUAUAACUAGACAACUUUCUGGACCACAGUUUGUUUGUUAUUUUUGCUGUUGUUGUUGUUUUUUACCCAGUUGUCACUUUGAAUGUGUAUAAUCUUUUUAGUGUAAAUGUUUUUUUCUAUUCUGUUUACAUGUAAUUAAUUCUUCCGUUGUCUUUUAGAGAAAUAUUUUUGAAACGUUUGUCUUAUUUGCGAAUAAGGUUGGGCAACUGGAUCAAUAGGCCCAUAUAACCCGUCAGCUGUUUAUUAUUUAUGUCAUUUAGUUUUUCUAAUUUAGUGGUCUGCCUCUAUGAAAAUUCAGUUUGGCAAGACGUCGAGGUGUAAAUCACAGUUACAAUUAGCAGCGUUAGGAUGUUCGCGUUUAUUUUCUUGAGAGUGAGUUGUCAUGGAGACCUGACAUUAUAUGGUAGUGAUGGCGCUGCAGAAUGUCGAGUUCCUGUGAAAGUCUUUAUUGUCCGACAACUUUCCAAGCUAACAAGUGAUUCCAGAGCUAUGCUAUGUAAGCUAGCUGCAUGUUGCACAUCAGUACAUUAUAGUUUUCUGCACCUGAUCACUUAAAAACCCUUUCAGAACCUGAAAGGUAUCCUGCUUCAUUUGGGUCUAACAGCUUGCAAAUUUAGUCCAGUUUAAAAUAAUUAUCAUAACUAUUUUGUUUGGGGUUUUUUGGCAGUGAACAAGAGUGUGUGCAGCUAGGGGGAGAAGUGGCUGCUGCAUACACGCCCAUCCUGUAUAAUAUAAAGGCAACUGCUGAUUGUUGGACUGACGAUGGCCAGCUGGCAGAUUUUACCACGUCGCCCGGCCCUGUUUCCUAAUGUUAGAUUUUUCUUUGGUGUUUUCUCUUUCUCUAAACUAUUUUACUCUCCUUCCAUUUUAUUCUUCUAUAACCCUGAUCCUCAUUUCUCUCCAUCAUCAUUUUGUCUUCAUUUCGUUGUAGGAAAUGAAUUGAUGUUUUACUUUCUAAACAUUACCAACGUAGCCUAAUAAUCAGUGUUUUUAAUGUUCUGACUAGUGUAUAACUGUAAGCGAUAGACUUUAUAUUAAUCUAUUUAUUUUGGUGGUGGUAUGUAUAGAUAUUCUUAAUGUUAUAUUGUUUCAGAGUUCCUACACCUGUAACUUUGGGCUAUAAAAGGCUUUAUGCCUGCCUGUGACAUAUGCUCAGUAGCCUAAGUGCUGGCAAAGUAAAUGUGGUCUGUGUUGGUGCUGUCUAUGGUUUUUACACAAUAAUCUUUGAGUACAACAAACUACAUCUUUGUUACAGAACUAAAUCGACUCUAGAGCACGUCCUAAUCUUGUAGUUUUGCUUUCUGCAAAAUGUUUAUGAAAACAUGCUCAAAAGCAGCGAUCUCGUUCUUUCGUUUUCAAUUCAUGUCCUGAUGUGAAAGCCAUUUUAAAGCCAGCGUGAGUCACCAGGUUCUUUUCCCAACACCUAGGCUGCUGACACAAGUCAAACAUGAAGCUCUUCAGAUGGAAAACUAGUAAAUUUCCACUCAGCAGACUGAUACACGGAAGGAACAAUAUGGAAAAGGGGAAGCAAUACAAUACAAUAUACUGAUCCUCAUUGGUAAAGACAAAAAAUAUAAGGUAUAUAUAAAUAUAUACAUAUAUAAAUAUAUAGAUAUAUUCAAUAAAGUUCUCUAUGAAAAAUG
ensembl:lncRNA